rnacentral:rRNA from 1 species
UGGGGAAUAUUGGACAAUGGGGGGAACCCUGAUCCAGCCAUGCCGCGUGUGUGAAGAAGGCCUUUUGGUUGUAAAGCACUUUAAGCGAGGAGGAGGCUACCGAGAUUAAUACUCUUGGAUAGUGGACGUUACUCGCAGAAUAAGCACCGGCUAACUCUGUGCCAGCAGCCGCGGUAAUACAGAGGGUGCAAGCGUUAAUCGGAUUUACUGGGCGUAAAGCGCGCGUAGGUGGCCAAUUAAGUCAAAUGUGAAAUCCCCGAGCUUAACUUGGGAAUUGCAUUCGAUACUGGUUGGCUAGAGUAUGGGAGAGGAUGGUAGAAUUCCGGGUGUAGCGGUGAAAUGCGUAGAGAUCUGGAGGAAUACCGAUGGCGAAGGCAGCCAUCUGGCCUAAUACUGACACUGAGGUGCGAAAGCAUGGGGAGCAAACAGG